rnacentral:tRNA from 1 species
GAGGUUGUGGCUCAGCGGUAGAGUGCUCACCUAGCACGUGCAAGGACCUGGGUUCAAUCCUCAGCACCACA